rnacentral:sRNA from 1 species
CGGUGGCCGCGGCCGCCGAGUCCGUCUGCGCAGCCUCCUGCGUUUUCUCGCUUGGAUCUUGGCACUGAGAGGUGGUGGCCGGCGGGAUGGAGAAAAGUAGGAUGAACCUGCCCAAGGGGCCGGACACGCUCUGCUUCGACAAGGACGAGUUCAUGAAGGAAGAUUUCGAUGUCGAUCAUUUUGUGUCUGACUGUAGGAAGCGGGUCCAGCUGGAAGAACUGAGAGAUGACCUGGAGCUCUACUAUAAACUUCUUAAAACAGCCAUGGUCGAACUCAUCAACAAGGAUUAUGCAGAUUUUGUCAAUCUUUCAACAAACUUGGUUGGCAUGGACAAAGCCCUCAACCAGCUUUCUGUGCCUUUGGGACAAUUACGAGAAGAGGUUCUGGUAAGUUUCCCGAAUAACAUUAAACAGUUUACCCUAAAGCAUGAUAUGCU